CUACAUUAAACAUGAGGCAAGAAAAGGAAAUGAGAAUCAGGUGAGUAAUGUUUUUCAUGUUUACCUGUUAGCUAGCAAAAUAAUCAUAUUUGGUUAAUGGGCAAUUAACACACAACUAGUGAUGAUUUAAGACAUGCUGUUGGCCAGGUGUUGUGGCUCACGCCUAUACUCCUAGCACUUUGGUAGGCAGUGGCAGGCGGAUCACUUGAGUCCAGGAGUUCGAGACCAGCCUGGCCAACAUGGUGAAACCCCGUCUCUACUAAAAAUACAAAAAUUAGCCAGAUGUGGUGGCGGGAGCCUGUAAUCCCAGCUACUCAGGAGGCUGAGACAGGGAGAAUUGCUUGAACCCGGGAGGUGGAGGUUGCAGUGAGCCAGGAUCGCGCCACUGUACUCCAGCCUGGGUGACAGAGCAAGACUCCGUUCAAAAAACAAAAAAAAAGAUAUGCUGUUUAUUAAAAAAGAGAUCAUUAUUGGUAAUAGUGCCAAGGACUGAAUCCUUUCAGAUUAACUAUCUGCUGUUGUGAAUGGUGAAACUGUUUUGCGCCAAGUAAUCUGUUGAAUAACAUGUUUUUACACAGAUACAAAGGCUGAGUACUAGUUGCCAAGUACUACGAGAGAUGGCAUGAUUUAAGUAGAGAGGGAACUGGAUUUGAAAUCAGAAACACCUUGGUCAAGUACCAGCUCUCAUUUAUUUCUCUGCAACAUUAGAAAACUCAAACUCCUCUUCUUUAAAAUGGAAAUAAUAUCUGUUCUGCUGAACUGAGUGUUGUGAGCAUCACAUGAAGUAGGGAUUGUGAAAGUGACUUGUAAGCUAUAAAACACUGCUGAUGGCUGAUGGGAGUUGUCAUGGCCGCUUCAGACCCACAGCAAAGAUUUUUGAUAAGGCAUGACUCCUAAACGGAUGAAUGAGUGCCCCAUUAGAGCCAAGAUUCUUUUAUUCUUUUUGUUGUUGUAGUUGUUGAGACAGAAUCUUGCUGUCAUCCAGGCUGGAGUGCAGUGGUGUGUUCUCAGCUCACUGCAACCUCCAUCUCCUGGGGCAGGAGAAUCACUUGAAUCCGUGAGGCAGAUGUAGUGAGCAGAGAUCAAACCAUUGCACUCCACCCUGGGAGACAGAAUGAGACUCCAUCUCAAAAAAAAAAAA
rnacentral:lncRNA from 1 species